rnacentral:rRNA from 1 species
AGAAUCAACGCUGGCGGCGUGCCUAACACAUGCAAGUCGAACGAGAAAGUGGAGCAAUCCAUGAGUAAAGUGGCGCACGGGUGAGUAACACGUGACUAACCUACCUUUUAGUGGGGGAUAACCUAGGGAAACCUGGGCUAAUACCGCAUAAUACCUACGGGUCAAAGCAGCAAUGCGCUGAAAGAGGGGGUCGCGGCCGAUUAGCUAGUUGGCGGGGUAAUGGCCCACCAAGGCAGUGAUCGGUAUCCGGCCUGAGAGGGCGCACGGACACACUGGAACUGAAACACGGUCCAGACUCCUACGGGAGGCAGCAGUGGGAAUUUUGCGCAAUGGGGGAACCCUGACGCAGCAACGCCGCGUGGAGGAUGAAGUCCCUUGGGACGUAAACUCCUUUCGAUCGGGACGAUAAUGACGGUACCGGAAGAAGAGCCCGGCUAACUUCGCGCAGCAGCCGC